CAAGUAUACAGCUUUGCUUGAAAACAUCUACUUGUGCCUUGCCUAAAAUCUCUUUCCUCCACUUUUCACUGCCUCCCUUCCUCCUCCACCGCUGCUGCUCUAGUUCUGAGGAAUCUUUUGGCAUGGGACGAGUCUUCUAGAUUGUAUUAUUGGGAUUUGAGCUGUCUCUAUUAUAUUUCUAUUCGGCUUGAAAGACCUGGGUGUUAUGUUUGAAAGGAACAAAGGAUUUUUCAUUUUGUGCACAAAUACCCUUUAAUAUCAAAUCUAUUUUACCUGCUG
rnacentral:misc_RNA from 1 species